GAGGGUAUAGGUCGAAGUGGUAGAGCACAUGCUUAGCAUGCACGAGGCCCUGGGUUCGAUCCCCAGUACCUCCU
rnacentral:tRNA from 1 species